rnacentral:rRNA from 1 species
UACGGAGGAUGCAAGCGUUAUCCGGAAUGAUUGGGCGUAAAGCGUCCGCAGGUGGCAAUGUAAGUCUGCUGUUAAAGAGUGAGGCUCAACCUCAUAAGAGCAGUGGAAACUACAUAGCUAGAGUGCGUUCGGGGCAAAGGGAAUUCCUGGUGUAGCGGUGAAAUGCGUAGAGAUCACGAAGAACACCGGUGGCGAAAGCGCUUUGCUAGGCCGCAACUGACACUGAGGGACGAAAGCUAGGGGAGCGAAUGGG